CCGCGCCGCGCCGCGCCGGGGGACGCCGGCCCGCCCGCCCGCCCGGCGCGGCCCCUGCGGCAGCUGGAGGGAGCAACCGUGAGCCCAGCGUUGUUGGCUUUUGCUCUGCUGCUGGCUGCUGAACAAAGGUGCUGCUGAAAGGUUCCUGGUGUUUUUACUGAAUCUGCAUCUGGUACAACACAGCUGUUUCUCAGACUGCACCUACGCUUUUUGAGAACGUUGUUCCUCGGAGGGAAGCAGCUGAUGGGUAUUUUUCCUUCCCCUGAUUGUGAUCAGAGGAUGCAAAGAGAAGGUGCCAUCAUGUGAAUGGGAAGCAGCUAGCUGAGAAACAGGACACCUGGAAGGCUGAGCUGAAGGUGCCUGUGCACAGCAUGGCAGAUUGAUUUGCUCUCCGAAACGAGAUUCGGAAACCCUCCUCCUCCAAAAGACUUUGCUGAGUGAGAGGAGAGAAAUAGGAAGCAGCACACAAACGAGCAAUGGGAUUUGAGGGCCAUGGUUACUUGAGAUAAAUGGCAGAUCCCUGGGAGUCUAGCCUUGUAGCUGUUCGCUUUAGCUUAGUCUCUCUCUGCAGCUGCUGCUUCUUUUUUGCAAGCUGCUGCUGGGUGCUGCCACGGUGGUGCUGGAGAUUUCAAGGGCAACGUGGGAGCAGGGCGUGAGGAAGGGGUGGGCAGCCCGCCUCACCAUGAUUCAGCUGUGGAAAGUAGUGCGGCACGUGCGACAGCUGGAGCUCCACAGAUUGAUCCUGCUACUCAUUGCCUUCAGCCUGAUCUCCAUGUGCAUCUUGGCUUACUACGUCACUAACAGCCCCAAAAUCAAGGAGCCACCACCCCUACCCUUCAGUGACUGCAGCAGCCAGCACCGUGUCUUGAUCCCGCCACAAGCCAGCUGGAGGCUCACAAAGUCUGUGGACACCUCACGCACGGAUCCUGUGGUGCUAGUCUUUGUGGAAAGCAUUUAUUCUCAGCUGGGACAGGAAAUCGUGGCCAUCCUGGAAUCUAGCCGGUUUAAAUACAGGACAGAGAUUGCCCCUGGCAAGGGGGAUAUGCCCACCCUGACGGACAAAGACAGGGGACGCUAUGCUCUUAUUAUCUAUGAGAAUAUCCUUAAAUAUGUGAACUUAGAUGCCUGGAACCGAGAGCUGCUGGACAAAUACUGCGUAGAGUAUGGAGUGGGAAUUAUAGGCUUUUUCAAAGCCAACGAGAACAGCCUACUCAGUGCGCAGCUCAAGGGUUUCCCCCUUUUCCUCCAUUCCAACUUAGGGCUACGGGACUAUCACAUCAAUCCCAGUGCUCCCCUGCUCUAUGUCACCCGGGCUAACGAGGUGGAGCAGGGUCCCCUCCCUGGGGACGACUGGACUGUGUUCCAGUCAAACCACAGCACAUAUGAGCCAGUGCUGUUGGCCAGCACGAAGUCCUCGGAGUCCAUUCCUCACCUGGCUACCCACAAAGCGUUGCAUGCCACAGUGGUGCAGGACCUGGGUCUGCAUGACGGGAUCCAGCGAGUUCUUUUCGGCAAUAACCUCAAUUUUUGGCUGCACAAACUCAUUUUUGUGGAUGCUAUUGCCUACCUAACUGGCAAACGCCUCUGUCUCACACUUGAUCGCUAUAUCCUUGUUGACAUCGAUGACAUAUUUGUGGGCAAAGAGGGCACUCGCAUGAAGGUGUCUGAUGUAGAGGCUUUACUGAGCACCCAGAAUAAGCUGAGAACUUUAGUCCCAAAUUUCACCUUCAACCUGGGCUUCUCAGGGAAAUUCUACCACACAGGUACAGAUGAGGAAGACGAAGGGGAUGACAUGCUGCUCAAACAUAGGAAGGAGUUCUGGUGGUUUCCUCACAUGUGGAGUCACAUGCAACCUCAUCUUUUCCACAAUGUCACUGUGCUGGCUGAGCAGAUGAAGCUCAACAAGCAGUUUGCUGUGGAGCAUGGGAUUCCCACAGACUUGGGCUAUGCUGUGGCCCCCCAUCAUUCUGGGGUGUAUCCUGUCCACACACAACUUUACGAGGCUUGGAAAUCUGUGUGGAGCAUCCAGGUAACAAGCACAGAGGAAUACCCACACCUGCGGCCCGCUCGGUACCGCCGAGGAUUCAUCCAUAACGGAAUCAUGGUUUUGCCUCGACAGACCUGUGGUCUUUUUACUCACACUAUAUUCUACAAUGAAUAUCCCGGUGGCUCGAAGGAGUUGGACAAAAGCAUUCGUGGUGGUGAACUCUUCCUGACAGUGCUCCUGAACCCAAUCAGCAUCUUCAUGACCCACCUGUCUAAUUACGGAAAUGACCGUCUGGGACUGUAUACUUUUGAGAGCCUGGUCAAGUUUGUGCAGUGCUGGACCAACCUUCGCCUGCAAACGCUGCCACCUGUCCAACUGGCAAAAAAGUACUUUGAAAUCUUUCCCCAGGAGAAGAAUCCCUUGUGGCAGAAUCCAUGUGACGAUAAGAGGCACAAGGAUAUCUGGUCCAAAGAGAAAACGUGUGAUCGGCUCCCCAAGUUCCUUAUCGUGGGACCUCAGAAAACUGGCACCACAGCUGUGCACUUCUUCUUGACCAUGCAUCCAGCUGUCACCAGUAACUUUCCGAGUCCAUCCACCUUUGAGGAGAUUCAGUUUUUUAACGGGCCCAACUAUCAUAAAGGAAUUGAUUGGUACAUGGAAUUCUUCCCCAUCCCCUCCAAUGCCAGCACAGACUUCAUGUUUGAGAAGAGUGCCAAUUACUUUGACACAGAGGUGGUACCAAAACGUGGGGCAGCCUUGCUUCCUCGAGCCAAAAUCAUUACUGUUCUGAUCAACCCUGCUGACCGAGCUUACUCGUGGUACCAGCACCAACGUGCUCACAACGACCCUGUGGCGCUCAAUUACACCUUCUACCAGGUGAUCUCUGCAAAAUCCCAGGCCCCUCAGGAGCUGCGCAACCUGCAAAGCCGAUGCCUGCUUCCCGGCUGGUACUCAACUCAUCUGGAACGCUGGCUAACAUACUACCCUUCUGGGCAGAUUCUCAUAGUGGAUGGUCAGGAGCUGAGACAUAACCCUGUCUCUGUAAUGGACAGCAUCCAGAAGUUCUUGGGUGUUACACCACUCUUCAACUACACCCAGGCCCUAAGAUUUGAUGAAGCAAAAGGAUUCUGGUGCCAGCUGCUAGACGGAGGAAAGACUAAAUGCCUAGGAAAGAGUAAAGGAAGGAAAUACUCUGAUAUGGAUGUCUCGUCACGGCUGUUUCUAAGAGACUUCUAUCGGGAGCACAACAUUGAAUUAUCCAAGCUGAUGAACAGACUUGGACAACCGCUUCCGACCUGGCUCCGAGAGGAACUGCAGAAUUCCAGCUGGAGCUGAGGGGGACUUCCUUGCCCCCUGUGCCACGAGGAAGUGUUGUGCGCUAACGUAUGCUACGAUGCCAUCUCUUGUCAAGCCAAAACAAUUGGACAAGUGAGCGGGAGCAGAGACCAUACAUACGUGCAUGUGGAGCUCUUCCUUGCGUUUGGGAAGAGCUGCUGCCUCUGACACUGCCCUGGGGCAAGGAGUGCAAAUCACAUGCUAGAUUAUUAAUAGUGUGUUACACUCUGACUCUUACUUACUGGGAGGAUUUCAAAUGCCUGCUCUGCGUUGAGCAAGAGGAGAGAGCACAUUAAUGCUUUAUGUUUAAAGUACUCAGUGUAUGCAACUGGCAUUAGCUGAAGGGUUAAUGUCUUACUCCUCUGAGUGAGUCCACUUAAAAAAAAAAAAAAAAAAAAGUAUUAAGAGGGGAGCCCACUGAUGAGAAAAGUACAGCAGCUUAAUGCAAGGGGAAUCUAGUCCAGUGAACCCCAGCUUUAUCGAGUAGUCUAAUUUGGCAACAACAGAUGGGAGAAGGUCUUCCCCUGCAGAGUACGGUGGUGGUGAUCACUACUUACGGUGCGAUGGUGCGUGGCUCCUGGGGACUGCACCAGCCCUCCACGCUGCUUGCAGACAGACGUAAUAGAUAUUACCUCUCCUUGUUUGCAGCAUUGCCGGUGUGAUACGAAGUAGACGAGGCAAAGCCACCGAUAUCACCACAGAAAACAUGUUUGGUAACAGGGAAAAGGCUGCCAUGCGUGGCAACAUAGCUGGGUAACAGGUAUUUCUCUGCUGGGAUUUUAACCAUUUUAAAAGCUGGAGACCCAAGCAUUUACGUUUUCCCCUGAGCAUACUUCCAAGAUGCAUUAGUGCAGCACAGCAGCUGGGGGAGGUCAGAGCUCAGGUACUUGUAAAAUAAGGCUGAUGCGGGUGAAGCCAGAUAGAUCAGUUCUCUGGAUCUAAACAGCUUCAAAAAAAUUGCAACGUUUUUCUCUUUUCAGCAGCUCCAGGGCCCUUACCAGGUAUGCUGAUAACUAGCAUCUGUUUAAUCCCCCUGCAGUCCAACAAUACAAGGAGAAAGGCAAAAAAACAGGCUUGCAGAAGCCAGCACAGCGCGCACAACCUGUAGUAGACUCAGUCUUAUUGAUUUGCACUAAUGAUGACUCGCGAGCCAUUCCCAGCUACUGCCGCUCUGGGAUUUCCUACUCAGUAGUGACAGAGCUUUGCUGUGCGCCUCCUGUCCAGGUAUGCUUCCACCAUGUGGCCUUGGCCAGCAGCCCAGAAGCAGACCUACAAUAAUAAGUAACCUUACAUUCAACUAACAGUAAAAUAUUGUAUAACUAGUCACAGUUGUGAUGAUAGCAUUACAAAAUAGCCUUGCAGCUCUCACUUUACCAAGCAUUACAGAAACAAAAACAGCAUUAACAGAGCAGGUAUUCUUAUAUGAUAUUGCCACAGGAGGAGGCUCCCAGAACCAAUGCUAUGAUACUUCAUUAAGCACAGAAGCUCCCUUCUCUUAAUCCAUUACAGGUUACCACUUACAUAAUGACUUGAGGCUUCACUUCAGGCUAUAGUGAAUCUGUGAGGAGUUGGAUUCAAAGAUCUAAAAAAAAAAAAAAAAAAAAAAAAAAAACACCACCACCAAGAUACUAUCAAUAAAGCCUGAGUGGGGCUCACUAAAUGUCAGGGCUGCUAUACUGGAGAUGAUAGUUCUUCAGUUAGGUGAGCAAAGGGCAGCUGUGCAUCCUUCCUUCAUUUCUGUGUCAUGUUAGUUCUUCUUAUGAUAAUGAAAAACAAAUCAGUUGCUGUGGCCAGGUCCAAAUGUGGGAUGUUCUCAUCUGAUUUAGCUGACAAAGAGCCAUUUUAAAAUAUGGUAAUUCCCUCUUCUAGUACAUUGCUGCAGAACAAUCCCGUCAAAGCCAGACAUCCCUUCAAAGCUGUGGAAAUGAAACACUUGCUCCUAAACUUGAGAGAAGCUCUAAAACAUCUGAAGACCAACAAGGGACAUCUUUCCAGUGAGAUAAGCAGAUUACUAAAUAUUAAGCAUUAGUCAUUUACAAUAUAUUUCUGACCAUCACACAUCAUUUUGAUACCAGAAAUUGCAAAUAAAUGUAGCUUUCUUACAUCACUA